GCCAACUCAGUGGGUUAGAGCAUGGUGUUGGUAACGCCAACAUCACAGGUUCAAUCCCCAUAAGAGACA